rnacentral:rRNA from 1 species
GAUUAACGCUGGCGGCGUGCAUAACACAUGCAAGUCGAACGAUGAAACUUAAAUGAUUUCUUCGGAAUGAACUUAAGUGGAUUAGUGGCGGACGGGUGAGUAACGCGCGAUUAACCUGCCUUACACAAGGGGAUAGCCGUUGGAAACGACGAAUAAUACCCUAUGAAACUAUCACUUCGCAUGAAGCGAUAGUCAAAGUGUUAGCGGUGUAAGAUGGACUUGCGUCUGAUUAGCUAGUUGAUGAGAAAAAAGCCCACCAAGGCAACGAUCAGUAGCCGGCUUGAGAGAGGGUCCGGCCACAUAGGGACUGAGGCAGUGGCCAGACUCCUACGGGAGGCAGCAGUGGGGAAGAGUGCACAAUGGGGGAAAACCUGAUGCAUCGACGCCGCGUGAUUUAGAAGGCCGGCAGGUUGUAAAAAUCAUUUGUAAAGGAAGAAAAUGACAGACCUAUACGAAUAAGGUCCGGCUAAUUACGU